rfam:Cytophagaceae bacterium SCN 52-12 ABS46_C0064, whole genome shotgun sequence.
GCCCAGGUGGCGGAAUCGGUAGACGCGCUGGUCUCAAACACCUGUGGCCGCAAGGCCGUGCCGGUUCGACUCCGGCCCUGGGUA